GAAAGCAGCGUUGAUACCGUGGGAGGCUUGUGGUGGUUUUGGCCCUUGAUGGCUGGAAAGGUUUGAAGGUGUAGUUUUCCAAGCUGGAGUUUUGUUCGCGUUGGGCGCUUAGCGUAUGUUACUGUCGCUAACGGGAGAUUCUCGACGUGUUUGCAUUGGGCCGUUUGCAUCGGUUGGGACCGUUGUUACUGACCUCGUAGGUUGUGUGUUGCGUUUACACGCUGAAAUCCGGUUUUCACGGUCUGUCAGUACUCGCCUAUUUAAGCUCAUCGCGCAUACCUUACUUCUACGUGUUCACGUCGGUUCGUCGGGGCCUAUCAGCGCCGCUGCUUUUAAAUUGGCCGCGUGAGCUUUACGUUUGCACCUUUACGUCGGAUCACUGGGGUCCAUCAGCGCCGUAGUUUUUGAGCUGGCCGGGCGUGCUUUGGAGCGCUUAGUUGCUUUCGGUUUCACUUGGUUGCGUCGUGAUGUUCAUUGAGUUAAAGGUUACUGCACUCACUUCAGUCGCCAUCGGUCUCCGUAAUCUAACUGCCCUUUGCUAUUACUUGCUUCACUCACGUACGAUAUGCGGACGGUCCUAUUUAAGUUGAGCGCCCAUACUUCACUAUCCCAAGUGGGACUGCUUUUUCAUUUACGUGUCUCUAUCCGAGGCAGUAUAAACAUCUUUCCAUUCAAGUUUACCGCAUGUGUUUCACUAUCCAGAGUCGGACUGCUUUUGGAUUUACGUGGCUUUGUGGGAUGCGGUAUGAAGAUGGUUGCAUUCAAGUUUACCGCCUCUACUUCACUGCAGAAUCUGACUGCCGUCAGAUCUGUAUGACAGAUUGUUGCAUUCGUUUUCUGCGGGUACAUCACUAUCCAGUCUACUUUUUCCAUUGACGUGGCUGAGUCAUAUGUAGUAUGACUGUCAGAGGCGUUGGAACCUGAAGCGACCCCAUUUUGAGUGAGGGCUAGAAAAAUGAGGCCGGGACUUACGGGCCUGCAUUCUCAGAAGGAUAUUCCUAGCUUUCAGAUGCUUACGCUUAAGGGAACAAAUUAAUGUUUACUGAAGAGACCCGAGUGUCCAGAUAGCUGGAUAUCUGGAGAACAAAGGCGUUCCUAAUUUUGCUUUAAAGGUAGUAAUAGGGAUUCUUGCAAAAUGUAAUAAGUAAAGUUAAUUCUUUAUCACAAACCCUUAUAGCAGAGCACCUCUCCCCAUGUGUACAAGCAUUGUACCUAGGGCGGAUACGUUCCUUCUCUUAGUUUCGGGAACGCCAUUCUCUGUCUGUGGAGUAGCUGUUCUUUCACCACUUUACUUUCUUAAUAAACUUGCUUUUAUUUUGCACCGCGGACUCGCCCUGAGUUAUUUCUUGCGCGAGACCCAAGAACCCUCUCUUUGGGUCUGGAUCGGAGCCCUUUUCCUGUGACGUAUUUCUGGCCACCACAGAUGGGACUAUAGUGCUUUGGGGAAGUGUUGGGGUCCUAUAACAUAUUUCUGGCGAAUGACGGAAGGGACGAUACUGAAGAAACUCCCCCAACCCAAAGGAAGUAGACUGCAGCACUGCAGUAGUCAGUAGACUGACUUUGGGUAAGUGGUGGAGUGCCCGGGUAAAGAAUGGGAUUGGGUUAGAGGCCCAACUUAAUGGAGUUAGAGUCUUUCCUAAAAGAGAGUGGGUUAGAGGCCCCUCUUAAUAAAAGGCAAGGACGCUUGACCGACCUCGGGUUACAGGCCGGAUCGAGGAGGGUUAGAGCCCCUUCUAAGAUUUAGGGGGUUAGAGGUCCCUCUCAGUGAAGUCCCUCUUGGCUAAAAAACAGGUUUGACACCGCAGGCUAUGCUCUUUGUAUUAAUCUGCCUCGUCCUCCUUGUCUUGGUUGCUGUCUCCGUUUCAGUGUCAUUUUCAGGAGACUUCAUUUAACUGAUCUUAGGGAUUUUAACUGAUUCUUCUCCUGUGUCCCUCCCGAUUUCUGUCCGUUUGCUUGUGAAACACUGGGAACCAAAAGCAUUGGAGGAUCCGUCUCUAAAAUUGCUGAUUGAGAUUUGAUAUUUAACAGCUGUGAGCAAUAAGAUUCGAUAGAUGUGGUUGUGUUUUGUUGCUGCUGUGCUGAGUGUGAUUGAGAAGCACUAGGGUGGAAAUCGGGGGACUUUUCUCCUUGCUGUUUUGUUUGGUUUUGCACACUAAAAAAACUCCUUUGUAGCUAAGCGCGGUGGCUCACACCUGUAAUCCCAGCACUUUGGGAGGCCGAGGGAGGCAGAUCACCUGAAAUCAGGAGUUCGAGACCAUCCUGGCCAACGUGGUGAAACCCCGUCUCUACUAAAAAUACAAACAUUACCCGGGUGUGGUGGCAGACAUCUGUAAUCCCAGCUUCUUGGGAUGCUGAGUCAGGAGAAUCACUUUAAUCUAGGAGUCAGAGUUUGCAGUUAGCCGAGAUUGCACCACUGCACUCCAGCAGUCUUCUCAACAGAGCGAAACUCUGUCUCAAAAGAAAAUCAAAAAUCUUUCUUUUCUUGGAUUCGGGCAAACCGUGUUUGCUUUGCUUUUCCAAUCCUCACUACUGUUAUUGGUUACUCUGGUUGUUCCCAUCUAAAUCCUCUUCAUUUAUUUUGCCUUAUUCGACAUUUUUUUCAAAGUCCAUGUUGUGGUUUAUCUAAGAUUCAUAGCUCAGCUCACUUACGUUAUUUGGAUAAUGUGAAUCAUGUUUGAUGAGAGGAAAAGAAGAAAAAGAUCUAGACGUACCAGGCGAUCCUUUAAUGCAAGCCCUGCUGUGGUUCAGCAGGCAUUUUUGGGUGGAGCGGAACCCCUUUCUGUCAUCUCUGAAGGUUCGUAUGUGUCAGUUCUUUCUCCCUGUAGUCCACCUGAAAGUUCUUGAGAACCCUUCGUCCCUUCUCCUUACCCAGCUAGUCCCACUCUGUACCCACCAUUCCCACAAAGAACUUAGCCCACCGAGUACUACUUAUAGUGCAGCCUGCUAUCAACCUCCAAAGGGAAAUCUUUGUCCACUUAGGUGGCAAAUCGGGAAGAGGGCACUGUGAGAGUACAUGUUCCCUUUUCUCCGUCUGGUUUGACCCUAUAUAUAGAGAAGGUUGGUCAUUUCUCUGAAGAUCCAGGAAAAUUUAUAGAUGAGUUUGAGAAAUCAACUCUGACCUAUAGUUUAACUUGGGAGGAUCUGCAUGUUUUGUUGUCUCUGUGUUGUACAGUGGAGGAGAAACAAUGCAUUUUGGGGACAGCUAGGACCCAUGCAGAUGAGGUAUUGGCUCGCAACCCGUACCAUACUAUGUAUCAGGCAGGAAGUAUAGCAGUUCCAGAGCAAGAUGCAGAGUGGAAUUAUCAAAGGCGCAGUGAGGACUUGGGGAGGAGAGAUCAUAUGGUCACUUGUUCGUUGGAAGGGAUGAAGAAAUGUAUGAAAAAGCCUGUUAUCUAUGAACAGGUUAAGGAAGAUUCUCAGGAUAAAGAUGAGAAUCCAGCAGCCAUCUGCACCCAAACCAGAUGCCAAAAUAACCAGGCAAGCCCAAGAGUGACGGGGCCCGAGACCUUCCACUACACCUCCCAUCGGACAACUAGCCAUAUCUUCUGAGAAGCCUCAGCUAACCCUUGACAUGACAGAGAAAACCCACAGGCCCUGUAGGGCUGGACCUUACGUCUGGCGCCCAAUGAGGACUUCUCUCUCACUGUGUGAAGGUGCGCCUUGAGCGUGGAACUCAGCGGAGGACUACCAAUGACAGAUUCCUGAGGAUUGCAGUCAAUAAGCUUGGUGGAAAAGGACAACAACCUGUGUGGGUUCCCUCCCGACAACUGAAAUUGCACCAUAACUCCAAAGAAGAAACACUCCCAGAAACAAAAGGCAAAGACCCCUCUGAAACCGAAGAGCAAGUAUCACCGCCUGACACAUAAACUUCAUGACCUCGACAUUGAGACAAAAUCUCGCCGUGUGACCUACAACACCACUCAUUUAACUCCACCAACAUGGGGUCAAAUAAAGGUCUUAUCCCAUCAACAGAAAAAUCAUUAAGAGAAAAAUGAAUCCCCAAAACGACAGUCUGCAGAUGCCGCCAAGGAAUCCGAAGACAAGUCCAAAGUCAACGACAAGCAAUGAUGGCAAUGGUGAUCCUAGUUAAUAAAAAGCGGGGAGAUGUGGGUGGCAGCCACCCAGGUGCCAAGGCAAGAGACUGAGAGCACGAGCUGUUCCAGUGUAAUAAAAUAUAUAAAAUAACAAGUUAUACUAGAUAUAGCUCAUAGAUAUGAUUAUAUAUAAAUAUCAUUAAUCAUUAGUUUGUAGUAAUUACUCUUUAUUCAAAUAUUAUAAUAAUCCUCACUCUACAAUCAUAACCUAGAAAAAGGCAGGCCAUGCAGAGAUAGGAGCUGAGGGGACAUGGUGAGAAGUGACAAGAAGACAAGAGUGUGAGCCUUUUGUUAUGCCCAGGCAGGGCCACCAGAGGGCUCCUUGGUCUAGCAGUAAUGCCAGCGUCUGGGAAGACACCCGUACCAAGCGGACCAUGGUCUAGUGGUAGCGUCAGUGCCAAGGAAAAGCACCUGCUACUGAGCAGACCGGGAAAGGGAGUCUCCCUUUCCCCGGGGGAGUUUAGAGAAGACUCUACUCCACCAUCUCUUAUGGAGGGCCUGACAUAAGUCAGGCCUGCCUGCAGUUAUCCAGAGGCCUGACCGUCUCCCUGUGAUGCUGUGCUUCAGUAGUCAUGCUCCUGGUCUGCUUUCAUGUUCCAUCCUGUACACCUGGCUCUGCCUUCUAGAUAGCAAUAGCAGAAUUACUGAAAGUAUUAAAAGUCUCUGAAAUGCAGAAA